rnacentral:rRNA from 2 species
AGACCCGAAACCCGGUGAUCUAGCCAUGGGCAGGUUGAAGGUUGGGUAACACUAACUGGAGGACCGAACCGACUAAUGUUGAAAAAUUAGCGGAUGACCUGUGGCUGGGGGUGAAAGGCCAAUCAAACCGGGAGAUAGCUGGUUCUCCCCGAAAGCUAUUUAGGUAGCGCCUCGUGAAUUCAUCUCCGGGGGUAGAGCACUGUUUCGGCUAGGGGGCCAUCCCGGCUUACCAACCCGAUGCAAACUGCGAAUACCGGAGAAUGUUAUCACGGGAGACACACGGCGGGUGCUAACGUCCGUCGUGAAGAGGGAAACAACCCAGACCGCCAGCUAAGGUCCCAAAGUCA